UACGAAGGGGGCUAGCGUUGUUCGGAUUUACUGGGCGUAAAGCGCACGUAGGCGGAUCGUUAAGUCGGGGGUGAAAUCCUGGAGCUCAACUCCAGAACUGCCUUCGAUACUGGCGAUCUUGAGUCCGGAAGAGGUGAGUGGAACUCCUAGUGUAGAGGUGGAAUUCGUAGAUAUUAGGAAGAACACCAGUGGCGAAGGCGGCUCACUGGUCCGGGUACUGACGCUGAGGUGCGAAAGCGUGGGGAGCAAACAGG
rnacentral:rRNA from 1 species